UCUCCCCAUCUCUCACUCUAUCCAACCACCCGACGCUCAGGCAGCCUUAACAUCCGCCUCGCCGCCCAGGCCUUCCCACAUCCGCCCGACGCACAGGUGCCUCUCCUCCCGAUGACCUCAGAGCACCGCACAUACAGGCAUGCCGACCGGCCGCGAUGGUCGUGCUCGCUCCUGUGGCCAGCCGCUCCAAGGAGAGCAGCCGAUGUAGGGGAGAGAGAGAGCCAAGGGCAAGGUAAGCAGCGGAGCUCCAGGCAUGGCCCUCCUAGCCAAUGGGGUUGACCAAGGCGGGGCGACGGUGGCACUCGGCGCCGGCCGUGGCUUGGCGGGAGGAGCGCAGGCGGAAGGAGGUCGCCGCGGCUGGGUAUCAAGGCACAGAGGAUGAACAGGCGGCCCCCUACCCGAGGUGCUGCUGCUGGUAUUUGCUAUCCCGCCUCCCCGAAGAGAACAACCAUCGGCUCCAUGGACUCCUCUUUUGGGGGUUCCGAAAACGGGAGAGGGAGCAAGCAUAGGGGUCAGGCUGGACGCGGAUAUGGUGGUGUUGGAGGACUCUCGGGAGGGGCACCUGAAGAGCAGUCGGGAGGGAAGGGGAAGGCACGCUCUCACCCAUUCGCUCUAGCCGAUGAUACUGAAACUUGUCAGGGAAAACCUUUCCCAAGUCGAGGAUGGCAAUGGCAUUCCAAGCACAACCACCAAGUACAAGGAGGUAUACACUGAUUGUUUAUCUAAAGUGUUCCUUAAUAUGUGGUUAAUUCAGCUAACUGUUCGAAGAUAUAAACUGAUGUUAGGAUCAAAAGGCAAGCUACCAGGCCACACUGUUCAACGAAAGGUUGUCGAGGUUUUCAUCUGAUGAUGAACUGAACUCACCAAUGUUUUUUUCCUUUUAAGACUUGAGCCAAAAUUUGGCCCUUAUCUUCUUCUCAUGCAUGAAGCUACUUACUGCUGAUCAAAUUUCAGAUUGCUAAUAUCAUGAUUCUAACACAGGAAACUUGUUCCAUGUUGAGGAAACUUGCUAGAGGAGAAGGCUAAUAUAAACGUCAGCGAAAACAGUUCAAAUGGCUAUAAAUCAGUCGUUAACUUUUUAAGCUGCGCAGAAUUGAUCUAGAUAAAUUGAUGAUGUAUUUUUGUCUUCGCCAUAUACGUGUCACUUAAACUUUUGCCUUCUCUCUAAUGUGAUUUUAUAUACACAAGAUGCUAUAGGUGCUACCUUGGCAUGAAUAUCAACUACUCGUAGAGGAUUAAAAUGUAAGAAAUGUUACUUAGCUACCAUUUUUCCUUUCUUGUGCACACACAACAUUGUUGAAGCUAUACCGUUUCAUGAUUCUUAUUUUUUACAUGUACAACUGUUUACUUCUUCCUAUGUUCAGAGAAACAGAAGUCAUGAGGAACUCUGAAAUUUUAACUGUCUUUGACUAAACAAUUUUCAUUUCCUUAUAUUUAUUUCAUUUUUGGGGGAUUAUAGAUAUGACGUAACAUGCAUAAUACUCUUAGUACAUACUGGUAUGGGUAAGACAAAACUAAAACUUCCGAGGGACCAAAUUAUCUCAGGUGAGUACCCCAUUUCUCACAGAUAAAGAAGGUUUAUCUGUUUCAUGUUGAUCUGGAAGGUUCUUGUUUCAUGAGAUUUGCAUUGAAGAAUUUCUCUCCACAAGUUUCUCCUAAUAGAAAGUUGAUUCAUUGCUAUGAUACGCUUAUGUGCAAUUCUGGUUUUUGUUACAGAAACAUGGAUGAUGCCCUGAUUCCCAUUGAUUUAUGGAAUCGAGUCAUUGAAACCGUUUAUGGCCCUGACUUUGUUCCAGUGUGUAGGUCUGUGCACAUACAAAUGAUGGGUGGAAUAUUUGCAAUUAUCACGUGUCUUCACUUUAGCUCUUAAUGUGAUGCCAUCUAUUGUCACCAUGCAAGGAUUAUCGGAGUUUGAGAAUGGGCUUGGAGACGGAUGGAGCUAUGUGAAUGGGCUUACCUAUAAAUAUUCAUAUUGGUUUGCAUGUUGAAAUGGAGCAUGGUUUACCACACCCAAGAAAGUACAGAGGAGCAUGUGAGACAGGGAAAAUGAUCAUGAGCUUAUUCCAGAUUUAUGCAUGCCAUUGGAUAUGGUAUGAAGACAUUGGUAUUGUCACCUCUGUUAGAAUUGCUUGUAACCUGGGAGCUAUGAAGCUGACAGAAGAACUGCUUGAAGCAAUACAUAUAUGCACCCGAUCGAAACAUCUACGGUUUACUUCCUUCCCAUUUCUUGAUUUUUCUUGGCUUUGCCAAAGUCGCUUACAACGGAGGUAGAUGUAUUUUGGCUGUGGUGGCCGGAGAGAGUGAGCAAAAGAAAUUUGUUCAUGUAGCUAGGUGGUGAAAAGUUAAAUGUAUGUUGCCCUUUUUGCAUUUCACAAAAUAGAAUCAGUUUUUACAAAAAGGAAAAAUAAAAUAAGUGGUGUACACAUAAUUCACUUCUCUAGAUGACUCUCUCGGUUAUUUGUUUUUGAAACAGAGGGGAUUAGGGAAAAUAAAAUAAGUGGUGCAAGUUUUCACUUGCUCCAGAUGCAACUUCUGUAAGUUUUCAAACAAUAUGAAUUACACUGUCAAUUAGAUGCAAGACAUCAGAUUAGGAAUUGCGUUGAUGUUUUGUUUGCAAAAUAUAGGAAAGUAGAUGCUAUAUAUUAUUCAUUCACCGAUGAACAUAACCAACAGACAGAGAAUAUGAUGGGGUCGGCAAGACUGCAACACUCAUUUUCAGAAACUUUACGGUACCCCUCAUUUCAAAGCUUCGAAGUAUGUAGAUAUUUCUUCCUUCAUAUAUUACGGUACCCCUAAUAUAUGAUGCUAUAUAUUAUUCAUUCACCGAUGAUAUGAUGGUGUCGGCAAGACUACAACAGUCAUUUUCAGAAACUUUACGGUACCCCUCAUUUUAAAGCUUCCCAGUAUGCAGAUAUUUCUUCCUUCAGAAGCAGAUAUUAUCAAUAUACUAAAAGAAGGUAUGAUUUUAUUUGUUUUAUCACACCAAAUAUUCUAGACAUGAUAUUUUAAAGAUGAGUAAGAACAUCCCUUUACCUCUUGUGCUCCCGAGGUUUGAGAUGCCCUGGGCAUUGGAGUUUGUUCAAGGGAGGCAACAUUUGUCUUUUAGAUAGUAUUUACAUGGGAUUACUUCACCAGUGGAUUUGCAAAUCAAGAAUUUACCUGCAUAAGUCUAUAUAUCUUUUAGUAUCAUCACUCAGGUUUCUCAUAUUAUGGAGGCAUGUGCCGCCAUGUGUUAAUCCUCGUUGAGUGGAAGGUUAUUACUGUUUCGUAACUACAAUAGUUGUUGAGUGCUAAUUUUAUAGCUUGAAAGUCACACUGUGGAAUUUGCAGGAUAUAUGCUCCUUGUUUAUGAUAACUUCUUCUCCUUGUGUACUCAAUUUUGGCUCUAUGUAGAACUCAAAGAUUUUUCAUUUGCUGAUCCCUGAUGCAGCAAGGCAAUGGAGACGGCUACCCAGAAGCAGCAGAUAGCGGACGUGAUUGGCAAGCCCAUCGUGUUGGGUCCCUGGUACAGCGCUUUCAUCGGCGUGAGCCGUGCGAGGCAUUCCGUCUCCUACAUGUUCCUGGUGUUGGGGCCUCAAGGUGACGGUAUUCUUAAGUUCAAGGCUGCUCGCUUGGGAGGUGUGUGCUUCUAGCAUUGCAACUUCCAGGUUGAGAUGUCUUAUUAUACUAUAAGUUAUUCCUGUAAUUUUAUUUUGAUUCGUUUGUCAGCUUAAGUAGGAAGAUGCAAGCUUUUUUGUUGUUUUGGAAUUAUAACUAGCAUGGGAUUUAUCAAGAUAGAAAGCGUGGAAUAGAAAACUGGCUAAAUGAUCAUUUAUGUACCAUCAGGUUCUAGCUUGUAUAAUUUGACAACUUUAUAUUACCAUGCCAAAUUUAUGCAUGCUUGAGAAACAGGGCUGAGCAGUUCAAAGUUACACUGUCACAGUCUAGCAAGGCAUCUAAAAAACACUGUUGAUCAAGACCAACUGUUACUGGUUUUACAAACACAAAUUAAUUGAACUUUAGCCUUCUAUGCGUACACUGUCAAUUUAAUCAUACUUUCAAGUGAAGCUGAAUCUUAAUGCUUUUGGAAUGCUAUGUGACUAAAAUUUUAAACUAUGCAUGUCCAUUGUGUUAACACGUACAGUACGAUGAAAGAAGUACGAGAGACCGUAGCAACGCACGGGCAUUCAA